GAGCUUGCUCUGGUGGAUUAGUGGCGAACGGGUGAGUAACACGUGAGUAACCUACCCUUGACUCUGGGAUAAGCCCGGGAAACUGGGUCUAAUACCGGAUAUGAGUCAUCACCGCAUGGUGGUGGUUUGAAAGAUUUAUCGGUCUUGGAUGGACUCGCGGCCUAUCAGCUUGUUGGUGAGGUAAUGGCUCACCAAGGCGACGACGGGUAGCCGGCCUGAGAGGGUGACCGGCCACACUGGGACUGAGACACGGCCCAGACUCCUACGGGAGGCAGCAGUGGGGAAUAUUGCACAAUGGGCGGAAGCCUGAUGCAGCGACGCCGCGUGAGGGAUGACGGCCUUCGGGUUGUAAACCUCUUUCAGUAGGGAAGAAGCGAAAGUGACGGUACCUGCAGAAGAAGCACCGGCUAACUACGUGCCAGCAGCCGCGGUAAUACGUAGGGUGCGAGCGUUAUCCGGAAUUAUUGGGCGUAAAGAGCUCGUAGGCGGUUUGUCGCGUCUGUCGUGAAAGUCCGGGGCUUAACCCCGGAUCUGCGGUGGGUACGGGCAGACUAGAGUGCAGUAGGGGAGACUGGAAUUCCUGGUGUAGCGGUGGAAUGCGCAGAUAUCAGGAGGAACACCGAUGGCGAAGGCAGGUCUCUGGGCUGUAACUGACGCUGAGGAGCGAAAGCAUGGGGAGCGAACAGGAUUAGAUACCCUGGUAGUCCAUGCUGUAAACGUUGGGCACUAGGUGUGGGGAACAUUCCACGUUUUCCGCGCCGUAGCUAACGCAUUAAGUGCCCCGCCUGGGGAGUACGGCCGCAAGGCUAAAACUCAAAGGAAUUGACGGGGGCCCGCACAAGCGGCGGAGCAUGCGGAUUAAUUCGAUGCAACGCGAAGAACCUUACCAAGGCUUGACAUGUUCUCGUUCGCCGUAGAGAUACGGUUUCCCCUUUGGGGCGGGUUCACAGGUGGUGCAUGGUUGUCGUCAGCUCGUGUCGUGAGAUGUUGGGUUAAGUCCCGCAACGAGCGCAACCCUCGUUCCAUGUUGCCAGCACUUCGGGUGGGGACUCAUGGGAGACUGCCGGGGUCAACUCGGAGGAAGGUGGGGACGACGUCAAAUCAUCAUGCCCCUUAUGUCUUGGGCU
rnacentral:rRNA from 1 species